rnacentral:misc_RNA from 1 species
AAAGUCGUAACAAGGUAACCGUAGGUGAACCUGCGGUUGGAUCAUUACAGAAAAGGAUACGGCCAGAGUUUGGCCCGCCUCCGGACUGCCUCCAUAGGGAGGUCCGUUGUAAUGGCAACAUUUUGUGAACUGUUCUGUCCCUGGCGGCCGGGUGAGGAUGAGGCCCAACAUGUCUGAGACUCUUCACCUGUCAGCUUGGUUAAGGCCAAGCCGUGGACAAACCGCCAAAUGUGUCCAUCAACAUUGAUAUACAACUAUCGUCUAAAGUCUCCUUUUAUUAAUACACAAACAACUUUUGGCAACGGAUCUCUUGGCUCUC